rnacentral:rRNA from 1 species
UAAGGAAUAUUGGUCAAUGGACGCAAGUCUGAACCAGCCAUGCCGCGUGAAGGAUGAAGGUCCUCUGGAUUGUAAACUUCUUUUAUCUGGGACGAAAACGGGAUUUUUAUCUCAAUUGACGGUACCAGAGGAAUAAGCACCGGCUAACUCCGUGCCAGCAGCCGCGGUAAUACGGAGGGUGCGAGCGUUAUCCGGAUUUACUGGGUUUAAAGGGUGCGUAGGUGGGCUUAUAAGUCAGUGGUGAAAUCUCCGAGCUUAACUUGGAAACUGCCGUUGAUACUAUGGGUCUUGAAUUAUCUGGAGGUAAGCGGAAUAUGUCAUGUAGCGGUGAAAUGCUUAGAUAUGACAUAGAACACCAAUUUCGAAGGCAGCUUACUACAUAUAAAUUGACGCUGAGGCACGAAAGCGUGGGGAUCAAACA